rnacentral:rRNA from 1 species
GAUGAACGCUGGCGGCGUGCCUAAUACAUGCAAGUCGUGCGGAAAGGCCUCUUCGGAGGUACUCGAGCGGCGGACGGCAGAGUAACGCGUAGGAACAUACCCCAAACUGAGGGAUAACUGCCCGAAAGGGUGGCUAAUACCGCAUGUGAUCUUCGGAUUAAAGCUUCGGCGGUUUGGGAAUGGCCUGCGUUCGAUUAGCUAGUUGGUGAGGUAAAGGCUCACCAAGGCGACGAUCGAUAACUGGUCUGAGAGGAUGAUCAGUCUGACUGGAACUGAGACACGGUCCAGACUCCUACGGGAGGCAGCAGUGGGGAAUAUUGCACAAUGGGCGAAAGCCUGAUGCAGCAACGCCGCGUGAGGGAUGAAGGCCUUCGGGUUGUAAACCUCUUUUAGCAGGGAAGAAGCGAAAGUGACGGUACCUGCAGAAAAAGCACCGGCUAACUACGUGCCAGCCGCCGCAGUAA